CGGCGAGUGAAGCGGCAACAGCUCAAAUUUGAAAUCUGGCUCUUUCAGAGUCCGAGUUGUAAUUUGCAGAGGGCGCUUUGGUGUUGGCAGCGGUCCAAGUUCCUUGGAACAGGACGUCACAGAGGGUGAGAAUCCCGUACGUGGUCGCUAGCCUUCGCCGUGUAAAGCCCCUUCGACGAGUCGAGUUGUUUGGGAAUGCAGCUCUAAAUGGGAGGUAAAUUUCUUCUAAAGCUAAAUACUGGCCAGAGACCGAUAGCGCACAAGUAGAGUGAUCGAAAGAUGAAAAGCACUUUGGAAAGAGAGUCAAAUAGCACGUGAAAUUGUUGAAAGGGAAGCGCUUGCAGCCAGACUUGCCUGUAGUUGCUUAUCCGGACUUUUGUCCGGUGCACUCUUCUGCGGGCAGGCCAGCAUCAGUUUGGGCGGUUGGAUAAAGGUCUCUGUCAUGUACCUCUCUUCGGGGAGAACUUAUAGGGGAGACGACAUGCAACCAGCCUGGACUGAGGUCCGCGCAUCUGCUAGGAUGCUGGCGUAAUGGCUGUAAGCGGCCCGUCUUGAAACACGGACCAAGGAGUCUAACAUCUAUGCGAGUGUUUGGGUGUCAAGCCCAGACGCGUAAUGAAAGUGAACGGAGGUGGGAACCCUUUGGGUGCACCAUCGACCGAUCCUGAUGUCUUCGGAUGGAUUUGAGUAAGAGCAUGGCUGUUGGGACCCGAAAGAUGGUGAACUAUGCUUGAAUAGGGUGAAGCCAGAGGAAACUCUGGUGGAGGCUCGCAGCGGUUCUGACGUGCAAAUCGAUCG
rnacentral:rRNA from 1 species